rnacentral:lncRNA from 1 species
GAGGAUUUUGGAGCAUAUCAUUAAGCACAUGAAGCAAGAGGUUCAUUAAGCAACACCUCAUCCCUCCUUGAUAGUAUUGGCUUUUCCAUGGACUCAAUGUGAUCUUGGAUCACUAAAAUGUAAAAUGAAGAGUCUUGAGCUUCAAGCUUUAGCCAAUCCUUUGUCCUUAGCAUCUUGGAGAACUUCCCACAACCUUUAGUCCAUGCCACUCCAUUGUUGAACUUAUCUGAAACAUACUAGAUGAAAACGUUAGUCCAACAAGAGAUAUGUUGUCAUCAAUUAUCAAAACCACCUAGGGAGCACUUGUGCUUUCAAUCUCCCCCUUUUUGGUAAUUGAUGGCAACAUACAUCAAAGCUUUAGAUAAAGAUAUAAAGAACAGUAAGUAAAGCUUUGGAAGGACAUGUAACAAACAUAGGCUCCCCCACAUGUAUGCAAUCAUAUGAAUAUAAAAUAUAGAAGCAUGUGAGAGCAUAAUCAUGAUAGAGUAGGCAAUGUGUUACAUGUAUCUUGGCCAUAUGCAUCAGAGUAAAAGAUUAUCAAGGAAAAUACCUUCAUGCUCAUGAGUCCUUCUUGCAAACAGUAUGUACAUAAGCAAGAACUCCUCAUACUCAUGAUUUUGAUGCAUACACUUACCUUGUAGUUUUUGAGUUGGCUUAGGAUAGAAUGAACCUGCACAAACAAAGUUAGAUAACACAGGUACAUCCACUAGCCAGGGCAAACAAAAGAAACCACAAGAGUACCAAGACUGGGAUGACAUGUAGAGAGUAAGUACUAGGUACUACAUUGAAUUCAACAUGUCACCAAGAGUAAAGAUAUGCAAUGAAUUUGACUGAUUUCUUUCCCUUAGGUGUCUUGCUCCCCCUGAAUCUUACAUGGGAUAUUGGGAGAAGAUAGGAAACAGAAAAUCAGAGCUGAAAGAUACAACUGGAUAGAACUUAAUGCAAAUAAGCGUAUAUGAACAUGUCUUUCCCCCAAAAAGACAUGUGACAUCUCUCCUCUUGAACAUCAAGCAUCUGGGAUCCUUGAGUAUUUUCUCUCCCCCUGGAAAUCUCUUUCUCCCCCUUAAUAACAUCUGGGAUCCUUGAGACUUUCUCUCCCCCUUGAGCUUCCCUUAACAACAUCUGGGAUCCUUGAGACUUUCUCUCCCCCUUGAGCUUUGAUGUGAUCUCUCUCUCCCCCUUUGACAUCAAUUUCCAAGAAAGGGCCUUCUGGAAUCCGGCGUAUAGGUUUGGUCCUUGAGACUCAGCACAAAGAAAUGGAUAAAAUUGUGAUGCUUGUAGAGGACAAGAUUCAUUGAGUGGAGCUGGAUCAGAAGAAAUGUAGAACAAGUGGCAAACUGUUUUUCUGAUUGUAAGGUCGGUGGCACCGAGUGGCAUAUUUCGGUGGUACCGAAAGGAUUCGGUUGGACCAAAAAUUGCAAGUUGGUGAAACCGAGUUUACACAGAGAAAAACACUUGUCACCUCAGCUCACUAGACAUGUAGGAUCUCACAAAGAUUUGCAAUGAAUUACCUGAAGGAUUUGCAAGGAAUUAAAUGCAGAAAAUGCAGAACAAAAACAAAGAGAAAAGAGAAGAAACUGAAAGAUCUAGAUGAAGUUUUUUUUUGAAAAAGAGAAAGAAAAUAAACAUGCAUGAGACAAAUGCAAUAACACAAGAAGGAACACAAGAGAACUUCAUCUAGAGUUGGGCGGUGACAUAGUCACCUAUGUUAGAGUAUAUUGACUUAGGAGUCAAGUGAGAACACUUGAUCAUAGGUCAUACUCAUCGUUUAAGCUCAAAAUGGGGUUACCAUUUUUCGUUUAAGCAUCUUGAUGUAUUCACAUCUUGUUGAGUUGCUUUGACUCAUGUCUUGGAGUAAAGCUUCUCUAAGAUGGAAUAACAUACCUUGGGUGGUGGUGUGGUUCUUGCUCAUGUAGUUGAACUUGUGUGGGUGCUCAAGGUUGAUGUAGCUCAUCAAGAGUUGGGAGCACCACUUGGAGUGUGAGUUCACCUACCUACAUGGAUUAGUUCUUGCAAGGAAGAGCACUUGUGUAUCCAAAAAUGACAAUCAUGAAGCUCAACAUAGAAUUUAUCAAAGGAUAUGUUUGAAUGGUUCUGUGCUUCCUUGUCUUCAACCAUCAUUGUGUAGAGACUUGGUGAUGUAAAGAUUGCUCAAGAUGUGAGUGAGUCGCAAUCUCAUGAAAUUAGAUUCAACCAAGCACCUACAUGGGUUAGACAACAUGCAAGGUACAAAUAUAUCCAAGACAUAAGAUAGUCAUCAUAAGAGAUACAUCAUGGAUUAGUCCUAACCUCAUGUCUUGCAUGUAUCCAAUGGAGUUCCUACUCCAAGUUCGAAGCAUCAAUGAUGUUCAAUUCACCUCUCAACCUGCAAAACACUUUCUCAUCAAGUGGUUUAGUGAAUAUAUCCGCUAAUUGCUUAUCGGUGCGAACAUGCUUAAGAUCAAUGUCACCCUUAGCAACAUGAUCUCGAAUGAAGUGAUGACGAACUUCAAUAUGCUUAGUUCGAGAAUGUUGUACAGGAUUAUGACCAAUUUUGAUAGCACUUUCAUUUUCACAAAGCAGUGGAACAUGUUUAACAUAGAUUCCAUAAUCUUUGAGAGUUUGGGUCAUCCAAAGUAAUUGAGCACAACAUGAAACAACGGCAAUGUAUUCCACUUCGGCGGUGGAUAAGGAUACGGAGUUUUGUUUCUUGGAAGACCAAGACACAAGAGAUCUACCAAGAAAUUGACAAGUACCCAAAGUUGACUUUCUAUCAACCUUGUCUCCGGCAUAAUCCGAGUCGGAAUAGCCAACAAGAUCAAAAGAAGACCUCUUAGGAUACCAAAUGCCAAAAUUUGGUGUAUGAAUUAAGUAUCUAACUAUCCUUUUCACGGCCUUAAGAUGACAUUAUUUAGGAGCAGCUUGAUAUCGGGCACACAUGCACACACUUAGCAUAAUAUCGGGACGUCAAGCACAUAGGUAUAACAAUGAACCAAUCAUAGAGCGAAAAACCUUUUGAUCAACCGGUUCACCAUCUUUGGUCAAAUCAUUAUGCCCACUAGUAGGCAUGGGUGUAGACAUACCUUUGCAUUCUUGCAUAUUGAACUUCUUGAAUAAGUCAUUGGUGUACUUUGUUUGAGAGACAAAUGUACCUUCCUUAGUUUGCUUGAUUUGCAAACCGAGAAAGAAUUUGAGUUCACUCAUCAUAGACAUCUCAAACUUUUCUGACAUUAGCUUUCCAAACUUUUCACUAAAGAGAGGGUUAGUUGAACCAAAUAUGAUAUCAUCAACAUAAAUUUGGCAUACAAAUAGUUCUCCAUUAACCCUUUUAGUAAAAAGAGUAGAAUCAAUUUUACCAAUUUCAAAACCACUUGCAAUAAGGAACUUGGUCAGGCAUUUAUACCAUGCUCUAGGAGCUUGUUUAAGACCAUAAAGAGCUUUGUGAAGUUUGUAAACAUGAUUUGGUUUCUUAGGAUUGAUAAAGCCGGGAGGUUGUUUGACAUAAACUUCCUCCUCUAUUUCACCAUUUCGAAAAGCACUUUUAAUGUCCAUUUCGUACAAGGUGAUAUUAUGGUGAUUAGCAUAAGCAAGUAAGAUGCGAAUGGACUCAAGUCUAGCAACGGGAGCAUAUGUCUCGCCAUAGUCCAUACCUUCGACUUGUGUGUACCCUUGGGCGACGAGACGUGCUUUGUUGCGAACCACUUGUCCAUCUUCAUCUUGCUUGUUGCGAAACACCCAUUUGGUACCAAUGAUGUUGUGGUUGUUGUCGGGCUUCUCAACCAAUGUCCAAAUUUGGUUCCUCUCAAAGUUGUGUAGCUCUUCAUGCAUAGCGUUUAUCCAAUCCGGAUCUCCCAAUGCUUCUUCGACCUUCAUAGGUUCAAUGCUAGAGAUGAAUGAAUAGUUUUCACAAAAGUUAGCUAAACGAGUUUUUGAGCGAGUGAUUCUCCCGGUUUGUAUAUCAUUGAAGAUUCGCUCGACGGGAUGAUCUUUGGCGAUUCUUGCUCGAACUCGUGAGAGCUUUUGCUUGGGUCUUCGUUGAACAUCUUCUUCAUCUUGUUAUUCUUCUUGGCCUUCUUCAUUGUUGACGUUGUCGUUUUCUUGUCGUGGUGGAGAAGGAGGUUGUUGAUGUUCGUCUUGAUGCAUUUCCUUGUCUUCUUCAUCUUGGUGUGUCCCACUUGUGGAUGCUUCCGUAUCGAUUCUUGGUUCACCUUGUUGUGAAGUAGAAGCUUCCACUUGGACGGAUGAAGUACUCUCCUACACCUCCGUUGGACGAAUUUUGCCAAUGGGCAAGUCUUGGAUUGCUUCCGAAGGGUCUUUGUCUCCUACAUCAAUUGGCAAUUGCUCUACUUGCGAGCCAUUAGAUUCAUCAAACUUCACAUCUACCGUCUCUUCAACCUUUCGGGUGAAAUUGUUGUAGACACGGUAAGUGUGAGAGUUUGAGCCAUAACCAAGUAGGAAACCUUCAUGAGAUUUAGGAGCAAACUUUGAAAGAUGAUGCUUAUCAAGAAUGUAGCACUUUGAGCCGAAUACUCAAAAGUAUCCAACUUGGGGUUUGUUACCGGUGAGGAGCUCGUCUGCCGUCUUGCCGAGUAGCUUGUGAAGGUACAAGCGAUUUGUUGCGUGACAAGCUGUCUCAACCGCUUCUGCCCAAAAGUGCUUCGGCGUCUUGUAUUCAUCAAGCAUCGUUCUUGCCAUUUCGAUGAGUGUCCGGUUCUUCCUCUCAACAACUCCAUUUUGUUGAGGUGUGUACAUAGCUGAGAGCUCGUGUGAAAUCCCUUCUUCGUCAAGAAAGGUGUCCACAUUUGUGUUCUUGAACUCCGUUCCGUUGUCACUCCGAACCUUCUUGAUCUUCACGUCAAACUGAUUUUGGGCCUUCCUAGCGAAGUUUUUGAAGAUCUUCUGUACCUGCGACUUGUCAUUAAGAAAGAACACCCACGUAAAUCUUGAAAAAUCAUCAACUAUAACUAGACCAAAAGAAUUUCCACCGAGACUCUUGUAGGCGUUGGGACCAAAGAGAUCCAUGUGAAGUAGCUCGAGUGGCCUCCUUGUGGUCAUGAUGUUCUUCAUGGUAUGCCUUCCUCCAACCUGUUUACCUGCUUGACAAGAACUGCAAAGUCUAUCCUUAUCAAAUAUGACAUCGUUAACUCCAAGGAUAUGAUUUCCUUUAAUAAGCUUGUCAAGGUUUCUCAUGCCAACGUGACCUAGUCAUCUAUGCCACAACCAACCUUUUGAGGAUUUAGCAAUAAAGCAAGUUUUAGGUUGUGCCUUUUUAGAGAAAUCGACAAUGUAAAGAUCACCUCUACGCAUACCGGUAAAGACCAUUUUAUGAUUGUCUCGACGAAAUACUUGGCAAUCUACCUCAGUAAAUAGGACAUUCAAACCGAAAUCAGCAAGUCUAGAUACUGAAAGUAAGUUGUAGCCGAGUGAUUCAACGAGCAUGAAAUUUUGAAUGGAACUAUCAUGUGAGAUGGCCACCUUACCAAGGCCAACCACUUUACCCUUUGAGUUAUCACCAAAGGUGACAUAUUUUCGAGGGCCGUCAUUUUCAGCAAUCUCACGGAACAUCUCUUCAUCUCCAGUCAUAUGAUCAGUACAUCCACUAUCAAGAACCCAUUCCUUUCCUCCUGACGCAUAUCCUCGAAGAUUUGGCGUAAGACCAAAAUGUCUCAUUGCAUCAUCAAGAUCGAAGUCACUAUCAUCAGCAUCAUCAUAGUAUCCAUGUUCAUCAUGAUCUUGUGACUCAUCAUUUCCUAGAGAGGGUAAUUCAUUAGAUAAAUGAUCAUCAAAGUGGUCACUUUUAUGAAUUCUUAUAGCUUCAGAUAUAAUAUCACUAAUGAUUCCAACAUCUCCUUUAGCUCGCUUGAGAUUGGCAAGCUCAAAUAGACAAUCACCAAAGCUAGGAUCACUAGAGUUCAUCUUACUCAAGGCAAUAGAUUUAUGGAGAAUUUCAUCCAAAUUUUUCAAGGAAUGGUCGGGAAAUCAUUCCUCAAGAAAUUUCCAUAUAGUAUAGGCACAAUUAAGAGUAGGCAAACUAGCAAUCAAAUUUUUGGGCAAUCCUCUAAUGAUGAGCUCGAUAGUUCUAAGAUUGCGAAUCAUGUCAAUAUCUUCAUCUAGGGUAGGAUGCAAGGGAUCAAUAUGAGGUGCACAAGGGCUAGCAAUAUACUUGUUCAAAUGGUAUUGGUUGAAGAUUACAAGCAUCUCAUUUUUCCACUCAUGAAAAUAUUCUCCAUCAAGAAUAGGCACUCUAUGUCUAAGACUCCCUAAAGUAGACACAUCCAUCUUCCUCCAAUGGUGAUUAAACCAAGGCAAUGGAGACCAAAGCUCUGAUACCACUUGUAGGACCUUGAAGUAGAUGUGUCUAGAGGGGGGUGAUUAGACACAUAAUGCUAAAGUUGCAAUUUUUAAGCUUUUUCGGUUUAAGUGGAGUUUAAGCGUAAUUUCAACAAUCACAAUACAUAUCAAGCAAGUAUGCAAAGAGUAUAUAGGCAGCGGAAAGUAAAGCAUGCAACUUGCAAGAAUGUAAAGGGAAGGGUUUGGAGAAUUCAAACGCAAUCGGAGACACGGAUGUUUUUCCCAUGGUUCGGAUAGGUGGUGCUAUCCUACAUCCACGUUGAUGGAGACUUCAACCCAUGAAGGGUAACGGUUGCGCGAGUCCACGGAGGGCUCCACCCACGAAGGGUCCACGAAGAAGCAACCUUGUCUAUCCCACCAUGGCCAUCGCCCACAAAGGACUUGCCUCACUAGCGGUAGAUCUUCAUGAAGUAGGCGAUCUCCUUGCCCUUACAAACUCCUUGGUUCAACUCCACAAUCUUGUCGGAGGCUCCCAAGUGACACCUAGCCAAUCUAGGAGACACCACUCUCCAAGAAGUAACAAAUGGUGUGUUGAUGAUGAACUCCUUGCUCUUGUGCUUCAAAUGAUAGUCUCCCCAACACUCAACUCUCUCUCAUAGGAUUUGGAUCUGGUGGAAAGAAGAUUUGAGUGGAAAGCAACUUGGGGAAGGCUAGAGAUCAAGAUUCAUAUGGUAGGAAUGGAAUAUCUUGGCCUCAACACAUGAGUAGGUAGUUCUCUCUCAGAAAUAGGAUGCUGAAAGUGUAGGCUUAGUCUGAUGGCUCUCUCUUCGAAUGAAGAGGAGGUGGAGGGGUAUAUAUAGCCUCCACACAAAAUCCGACCGUUACACACAAUUUACCAAUCUCGGUGGGACCGAAUCAACAAACUCGGUCGGAGCGAAAAGGUAAACCUAGUGACCGUUGGAGAUUUCGGUGGGACCGUCUGGAUCAACUCGGUGGGACCGAUGUGCUAGGGUUAAGGUAAAUCCAAAACUCGGUUUGACCGAUUACUCAAACUCAGUGGGACCGAUUUGGGUAAUAAGCGAAACAGAGAUUUGGCCAAGCAAACUCGGUGGGACCGAUUGCAUAUCUCGGUGGGACCGAGAAUAAUGCAAUAGGUAACAGAGAGUUUGCAAGCCCAUCUCGGUGAGACCGAGAUCCCAUCGGUGAGACCGAACUGAUUAGGGUUUCUGGCAGUGGCUAUGACAAGUGAAACUCGGUGGCGCCGGAUAGGAAUAAUCGGUAGGUCCGAGUUUGGCUUUAGGUUUAGGUCAUAUGUGGAAGUGGGAAAGUAGCUGAGGAUUUUGGAGCAUAUCAUUAAGCACAUGAAGCAAGAGGUUCAUUAAGCAACACCUCAUCCCUCCUUGAUAGUAUUGGCUUUUCCUAUGGACUCAAUGUGAUCUUGGAUCACUAAAAUGUAAAAUGAAGAGUCUUGAGCUUCAAGCUUUAGCCAAUCCUUUGUCCUUAGCAUCUUGGAGAACUUCCCACAACCUUUAGUCCAUGCCACUCCAUUGUUGAACUUAUCUGAAACAUACUAGAUGAAAACAUUAGUCCAACAAGAGAUAUGUUGUCAUCAAUUAUCAAAACCACCUAGGGAGCACUUGUGCUU